GAUGAACGCUGGCGGCGUGCCUAAUACAUGCAAGUCGAGCGAACAGAUAAGGAGCUUGCUCCUUUGACGUUAGCGGCGGACGGGUGAGUAACACGUGGAUAACCUACCUAUAAGACUGUGAUAACUUCGGGAAACCGGAGCUAAUACCGGAUAACAUAUUGAACCGCAUGGUUCAAUAGUGAAAGGCGGCUUUGCUGUCACUUAUAGAUGGAUCCGAGCCGUAUUAGCUAGUUGGUAAGGUAACGGCUUACCAAGGCAACGAUACGUAGCCGGCCUGAGAGGGUGAUCGGCCACACUGGAACUGAGACACGGUCCAGACUCCUACGGGAGGCAGCAGUAGGGAAUCUUCCGCAAUGGGCGAAAGCCUGACGGAGCAACGCCGCGUGAGUGAUGAAGGUCUUCGGAUCGUAAAACUCUGUUAUCAGGGAAGAACAAAUGUGUAAGUAACUGUGCACAUCUUGACGGUACCUGAUCAGAAAGCCACGGCUAACUACGUGCCAGCCGCCGCAGUAA
rnacentral:rRNA from 1 species